AAAAAGAUAAGCUAAAAAAGCUUACAGGUUCAUACCCUGUCGAUGAAAGAAACCUUUCUCUUUUUA
rnacentral:tRNA from 1 species